UACGUAGGUGGCAAGCGUUAUCCGGAAUUACUGGGCGUAAAGCGCACGCAGGCGGUCUGUUAAGUUUGACGUGAAAGCUCCCGGCUUAACUGGGAGAGGUCGUUGAAGACUGGCAGACUUGAGGCGAUGAGAGGGGUGUAGAAUUCCCGGUGUAGUGGUGGAAUGCGUAGAUAUCGGGGGGAAUACCAGUGGCGAAAGCGGCACCCUAGCGUUAGCCUGACGCUCAUGUGCGAAAGCGUGGGGAGCAAACAGG
rnacentral:rRNA from 1 species